rnacentral:rRNA from 1 species
GACGAACGCUGGCGGCGUGCUUAACACAUGCAAGUCGAACGAAGUGGCGAACGGGUGAGUAACGCGUAAUCAACCUGCCCUUCAGAGGGGGACAACAGUUGGAAACGACUGCUAAUACCGCAUACUGAAGGAGGGGAUUGCGUCUGAUUAGCUAGUUGGAGGGGUAACGGCCCACCAAGGCGAGGAUCAGUAGCCGGUCUUGGGGGAUGGACGGCCACAUUGGGACUGGAGAAAGGCCCAAGCCCCUUCGGGAGGCAGCAGUGGGGAAUCUUCCGCAAUGGACGAAAGUCUGACGGAGCAACGCCGCGGGAGUGAUGACGGGCUUUGGGUUGUAAAGCUCUGUUAAUCGGGACGCGGUACCGAAAUAGAAAGCCACGGCUAACUACGUGCCAGCAGCCGCGGUAAUAC